rnacentral:rRNA from 1 species
GAUGAACGCUGGCGGCGUGCCUAAUACAUGCAAGUCGAGCGGACCAAAGAGAGCUUGCUCUCUGAGGUUAGCGGCGGACGGGUGAGCAACACGUGGGUAACCUGCCUGUAAGACGGGGAUAACUUCGGGAAACCGAAGCUAAUACCGGAUGAUAAAGAGAAACGCCUGUUUCUUUUUUGAAAGUCGGCCUUGUGCUGACGCUUACAGAUGGGCCCGCGGCGCAUUAGCUAGUUGGUGAGGUAACGGCUCACCAAGGCGACGAUGCUUAGCCGGCCUGAGAGGGUGAUCGGCCACACUGGGAAUGAGACACGGCCCAGACUCCUACGGGAGGCAGCAGUAGAGAAUCUUCGGCAAUGGACGAAAGUCUGACCGGGCAACGCCGCGUGAGCGAUGAAGGCCUUCGGGUCGUAAAGCUCUGUUGUCAGAGAAGAACAAGUACCGGAGUAACUGCCGGUACCUUGACGGUACCUGACCAGAAAGCCACGGCUAACUACGUGCCAGCCGCCGCGGUAA